AUACGAAGGCGGCUAGCGUUGUUCGGAAUUACUGGGCGUAAAGCGCGCGUAGGCGGAUUGGUCAGUUAGGGGUGAAAUCCCAGGGCUUAACCCUGGAACUGCCUCUAAUACUGCCAGUCUUGAGUUCGGGAGAGGUGAGUGGAAUUCCUAGUGUAGAGGUGAAAUUCGUAGAUAUUAGGAAGAACACCAGUGGCGUAGGCGGCUCACUGGCCCGAUACUGACGCUGAGGCGCGAAAGCGUGGGGAGCAAACAGGAUUAGAUACCCUAGUAGUCC
rnacentral:rRNA from 1 species